GGGUGUGUAGUUCAAUGGUAGAGCAUCUGCCUAGCACACAUGAGGCCCUGAGCUAAAUUCCCAGCACCUCCU
rnacentral:tRNA from 1 species